rnacentral:rRNA from 1 species
AUGUCGGCUAAGCAAGCCGGAGGUUCAUCCUCCAUUUCGAGCCAAAAACGAAUAAAUGGGGGCAGGAGCCCACACAGCACAUACGACCAUUUAAGCCGGGCCUCGCGUGAGCAAAGCUGCCGAGCAUCAUCUCGUCCUCCUCCACCCGCGUCAACGCCGCAGUCAAAACUCCACAUUCCCACUCCCACCAUGCCGCCCGCCCGGCUGGCCGCGCCGGCCGCCGUCCUCCUCGUCCUCCUGCACCUCGCCGCGACGGCCACGGCGACCAACUUCACCUGCAGCGCGCCGCGGGGCACCACCUGCGACUCCGCCAUCGGCUACCGCGUGCCCAACGCCACCACCUACGGGGACCUCCUCGCCCGCUUCAACACCACCACCCUCGCCGGCCUCCUCGGCGCCAACGGCCGCCCGCUCGCCACCUCCCCCAAGACGCGCGUCGCCGCCCAGGCCACCGUCCGCAUCCCCUUCCGCUGCCUCUGCGCCGGCAACGGCGUCGGCCAGUCGGACCACAAGCCCGUCUACACCGUGCAGCCGCAGGACGGGCUGGACGCCAUCGCCCGCAACUCCUUCGACGCCCUCGUCACCUACCAGGAGAUCGCCACCGCCAACAAGAUCGCCGACGUCAACCUCAUUACUAUCGGCCAGAAGCUCUGGAUCCCGCUGCCCUGCAGCUGCGACCCCGUGGACGGCGCCGCCGUCUUCCACCUCGCCCACAUCGUCGGCGGCGGGGAGAGCACCUCCGGCAUCGCCGCCACCUUCGGCGUCACCGAGGACACGCUGCUCAAGCUCAACAAGAUCGCCGACCCCAAGACACUGCAGAAGGACCAGGUUCUUGAUGUCCCGCUCCCUGUUUGCAGCUCAUCAAUCAGCAACAGCUCGGCCGAUCAUGAUCUGCGCAUCCCGAACGGCACCUACGCGCUCACCGCGCAGGACUGCAUCCAGUGCCGCUGCAGUUCAAACACCUUCCAGCUAAACUGCACCGCCCUGCAAGGCAAGAAGGGGUGCCCGGCAGUGCCGGUGUGCAGCGGAGGGCUCAAGCUUGGGGACACAAGCGGCACCGGUUGCGAAUCCAAGAUGUGCGCUUACAGUGGUUAUUCCAACAGCUCUUCACUCAGCAUACAGACCACUCCUCUCAAAAACCAGACAGCACCAGCAUGCGAGAAAGGAGGAUCUUCGAGGUCGGUGUUCGCGGGGUCCAUGUGGAGGAUAUCUGCCAUCUCCUUCCACAUGGUGUUGAUAUUGGUAUGCUUCCUUUGA